rnacentral:rRNA from 1 species
AUUGAACGCUGGCGGCAUGCCUUACACAUGCAAGUCGAACGGCAGCACGGGAGCAAUCCUGGUGGCGAGUGGCGAACGGGUGAGUAAUAUAUCGGAACGUGCCCAGUCGUGGGGAUAACGUAGCGAAAGCUACGCUAAUACCGCAUACGAUCUAUGGAUGAAAGCGGGGGAUCGCAAGACCUCGCGCGAUUGGAGCGGCCGAUAUCAGAUUAGGUAGUUGGUGAGGUAAAGGCUCGCCAAGCCGACGAUCUGUAGCUGGUCUGAGAGGACGACCAGCCACACUGGGACUGAGACACGGCCCAGACUCCUACGGAGGCAGCAGUGGGGAAUUUUGGGACAAUGGGCGCAAGCCUGAUCCAGCAAU